rnacentral:rRNA from 1 species
ACUCAAAUGAAUAGACGGGGACCCGCACAAGCGGUGGAGCAUGUGGAUUAAUUCGAUACUAACCGAAGAACCUUACCCAGGUUUGACAUUGAUUGUAAGCCUAAGAGAUUAGGCCCUCCCUCACAAGGGGACAUGAAAACAGAUGUUGCAUGGCUGUCGUCAGCUCGUGCCGUGAGGUGUGCGGUUAAGUCCGUAAACGAGCGCAACCCUCGUCCUAUGUUGCCAGCGAGAAAGUCGGGAACUCAUAGGAGACCGCCGGUGUAAGCCGGAGGAAGGUGGGGAUGAUGUCAAGUCAGCAUGGCUCUUACGCCUGGGGCUUCACACAUGCUACAAUGGACGCAACAAAGGGCAGCAAUACCGCGAGGUGGAGCCAACCCCAAAAAUACGUCCCCAGUUCAGAUUGCAGUCUGCAACUCGACUGCAUGAAGGCGGAAUCGCUAGUAAACGCAGGUCAGCUAUACUGCGUUGAAUACGUUCCCGGGUCUUGCACACACCGCCCGU